rnacentral:rRNA from 1 species
AAUGGGCGAAAGCCUGACGCAGCCACGCCGCGUGAAGGAAGACACCCUACGGGGCGUAAACUUCUUUUAUGUGAGAAGAAGACCCUAGUCGCUAGGGUUUGACGGUAUCAUAUGAAUAAGCACCGGCUAACUCCGUGCCAGCAGCCGCGGUAAUACGGAGGGUGCAAGCGUUGUCCGGAAUCACUGGGUGUAAAGGGUGUGUAGGCGGGACAGUAAGUCAGAGGUGAAAUCCCACGGCUCAACCGUGGAACUGCCUUUGAUACUGCUGUUCUUGAGUAUCGGAGGGGUAGCUGGAAUUCGUGGUGUAGCGGUGAAAUGCGUAGAUAUCACGAGGAACACCAGAGGCGUAGGCGGGCUACUGGACGAUUACUGACGCUGAGGCACGAAAGCGUGGGGAGCAAACAGGAUU